AGCGAACGCUGGCGGCAGGCCUAACACAUGCAAGUCGAACGAAGUCUUCGGACUUAGUGGCGGACGGGUGAGUAACACGUGGGAACGUGCCUUUAGGUUCGGAAUAACUCAGGGAAACUUGUGCUAAUACCGAAUGUGCCCUUCGGGGGAAAGAUUUAUCGCCAUUGGAGCGGCCCGCGUUGGAUUAGCUAGUUGGUGGGGUAAAGGCCCACCAAGGCGACGAUCCAUAGCUGGUCUGAGAGGAUGAUCAGCCACACUGGGACUGAGACACGGCCCAGACUCCUACGGGAGGCAGCAGUAGGGAAUCUUGCGCAAUGGGCGAAAGCCUGACGCAGCCAUGCCGCGUGAAUGAUGAAGGUCUUAGGAUUGUAAAAUUCUUUCACCGGGGACGAUAAUGACGGUACCCGGAAAAGAAGCCCCGGCUAACUUCGUGCCAGCCGCCGCAGUAAAAC
rnacentral:rRNA from 1 species